rnacentral:rRNA from 1 species
AGGACGAACGCUGGCGGCGUGCUUAACACAUGCAAGUCGAGCGGUAAGGCCCUUUCGGGGGUACACGAGCGGCGAACGGGUGAGUAACACGUGAGUAAUCUGCCCUUCACUUCGGGAUAAGCCUCGGAAACGGGGUCUAAUACCGGAUACGACACUUUUACGCAUGUAAUGGGUGUGGAAAGUUUUUUCGGUGGGGGAUGUGCUCGCGGCCUAUCAGCUUGUUGGUGGGGUAAUGGCCUACCAAGGCUUCGACGGGUAGCCGGCCUGAGAGGGUGACCGGCCACACUGGGACUGAGACACAGCCCAGACUCCUACGGGAGGCAGCAGUGGGGAAUAUUGGACAAUGGGCGGAAGCCUGAUCCAGCAACGCCGCGUGAGGGAUGACGGCCUUCGGGUUGUAAACCUCUUUCAGCGGGGACGAAGCGCAAGUGACGGUACCCGCAGAAGAAGCACCGGCCAACUACGUGCCAGCAGCCGCGGUAAUACGUAGGGUGCGAGCGUUGUCCGGAAUUAUUGGGCGUAAAGGGCUCGUAGGCGGUUUGUCGCGUCGGGAGUGAAAACGCCGGGCUUAACUCGGUGCUUGCUUUCGAUACGGGCAGACUAGAGGCAUGCAGGGGAGAACGGAAUUCCUGGUGUAGCGGUGAAAUGCGCAGAUAUCAGGAGGAACACCGGUGGCGAA